UCAGAUCUUCAGGGCAGGGUGCAACUCCCUACCGGCGGUAAACUUAUUAGGUGUCCCCUGUAAGCAAGCCCGCGAGCGCUUUUUUUCAAUAAAAAGGUCAGCAGACUUGGUGUGAUUCCAAGGCCGACGGUUAUAGUCCGGAUAAAAGAAGAGUAUC
rnacentral:ncRNA from 2 species